AUGGCUGCUACACAUGUCUGCCUGUUUAUAAAUCACAUCAUGGCUGCUACACAUGUCUGCCUGUUUAUAAAUCACAUCAUGGCUGCCACACACGUCUGCCUGUUUAUAAGUCACAUCAUAGCUGCCAUACAUGUCUGCCUGUUUAUAAAUCACAUCAUAGAUGCUACACAUGUCUGCCUGUUUAUAAAUCACAUCAUGGCUGCCAUACAUGUCUUCCUGUUUAUAAAUCACAUCAUGGCUGCCACACACGUCUGCCUGUUUAUAAAUCACAUCAUGGCUGCCACACAUGUCUACCUGAUUAUCAAUCACAUCAUGGCUGCUACACAUGUCUGCCUGUUUAUAAAUCACAUCAUAGCUGCCACAUAUGUCUGCCUGUUUAUAAAUCACAUCAUAGCUGCCACAUAUGUCUGCCUGUUUAUAAAUCACAUCAUAGCUGCUACACAUGUCUGCCUGUUUAUAAAUCACAUCAUGGCUGCCACACAUGUCUGCCUGUUUAUAAAUCACAUCAUGGCUGCUACACAUGUCUGCCUGAUUAUCAAUCACAUCAUAGAUGCUACACAUGUCUGCCUGUUUAUAAAUCACAUCAUGGCUGCCAUACAUGUCUUCCUGUUUAUAAAUCACAUCAUGGCUGCCACACACGUCUGCCUGUUUAUAAAUCACAUCAUGGCUGCCACACAUGUCUGCCUGAUUAUCAAUCACAUCAUGGCUGCUACACAUGUCUGCCUGUUUAUAAAUCACAUCAUAGCUGCCACAUAUGUCUGCCUGUUUAUAAAUCACAUCAUAGCGGCCACACAUGUCUGCCUGUUUAUAAAUCACAUCAUAGAUGCUACACAUGUCUGCCUGUUUAUAAAUCACAUCAUGGCUGCCACACAUGUCUGCCUGUUUAUAAAUCACAUCAUAGAUGCUACACAUGUCUGCCUGUUUAUAAAUCACAUCAUGGCUGCCACACAUGUCUGCCUGUUUAUAAAUUACAUCAUAGCCGCCAUACAUGUCUGCCUGUUUAUAAAUCACAUCAUAGAUGCUACACAUGUCUGCCUGUUUAUAAAUCACAUCAUGGCUGCCACAGAUGUCUGCCUGUUUAUAAAUCACAUCAUAGAUGCUACACAUGUCUGCCUGUUUAUAAAUCACAUCAUAGCCGCCAUACAUGUCUGCCUGUUUAUAAAUCACAUCAUGGCUGCCACACAUGUCUGCCUGUUUAUAAAUCACAUCAUAGCCGCCAUACAUGUCUGCCUGUUUAUAAAUCACAUCAUAGAUGCUACACAUGUCUGCCUGUUUAUAAAUCACAUCAUGGCUGCCACACAUGUCUGCCUGUUUAUAAAUCACAUCAUAGAUGCUACACAUGUCUGCCUGUUUAUAAAUCACAUCAUAGCCGCCAUACAUGUCUGCCUGUUUAUAAAUCACAUCAUAGAUGCUACACAUGUCUGCCUGUUUAUAAAUCACAUCAUGGCUGCCACACAUGUCUGCCUGUUUAUAAAUCACAUCACAGCCGCCAUACAUGUCUGCCUGUUUAUAAAUCACAUCAUAGAUGCUACACAUGUCUGCCUGUUUAUAAAUCACAUCAUGGCUGCCACACAUGUCUGCCUGUUUAUAAAUCACAUCAUGGCUGCUACACAUGUCUGCCUGUUUAUAAAUCACAUCAUAGCCGCCAUACAUGUCUGCCUGUUUAUAAAUCACAUCAUGGCUGCCACACAUGUCUGCCUGUUUAUAAAUCACAUCAUGGCUGCUACACAUGUCUGCCUGUUUAUAAAUCACAUCAUAGCCGCCAUACAUGUCUGCCUGUUUAUAAAUCACAUCAUGGCUGCUACACAUGUCUGCCUGUUUAUAAAUCACAUCAUAGCCGCCAUACAUGUCUGCCUGUUUAUAAAUCACAUCAUGGCUGCUACACAUGUCUGCCUGUUUAUAAAUCACAUCAUGGCUGCUACACAUGUCUGCCUGUUUAUAAAUCACAUCAUGGCUGCCACACAUGUCUGCCUGUUUAUAAAUCAGAUUUGGAGUUCCUGUGAACUGUGUCCCAGAAACACAUGGUGUUGUGCUAUGACAAAGCGUCACUCACCAGCCCAAGUUUGGGUUGGCUUUGUGAGCAGGAAGUCCCAAGCCACCAAAAGUGAUACAUAG
ensembl:lncRNA